rnacentral:tRNA from 1 species
GCAUUGGUGGUUCAGUGGUGGAAAUAUUGCUUUCUACAUUAGAGACCAGGGCUCGAUUCCCAGCCAAUGCA